CUCAGCAGAAAGUAAUCUCCUGAAAUUCAAUCUAUGUACUGUUUGUUGCCUUCCACCAAAGCGGAUACCUUCCAUGCUUGUUUGUUCCUUGUAAACAUACAGUCCCCAUUGAAGUGGGAUGAUGUCUGGUUGCAAAACAACACAUGAUUUUCUGCAACUCUGAAAUUAUGCGAUGGUUGGUAUGCAGAGCUUACAUCUCUAGAGUCAAUGGACAAGUGCAGCCUAACAGGUUGAUACUUCAUUUCUCCAAACGCAAUUGCCAAAGCCACAACAGGGAACUUGCCACGUGCCUUGAAAUUCAGAGUUUUUAAAAUUGGACGGCUCUCUGCAGUAGUUGAAAGGCUUUCUCUGAAUCCUGCAAAUGAUCGACCAAGUUGAGGGCAUCCUCCAACUUUCAAUGUGAC